UCCAUUGAGCCAAACCGGUUUCGGCUAGGUGAUUUCUUUAUGAGUCAAGCCAGUGUAUAUAUCAGUGGCUUGUUCCUGUUUACUUCUGGAUAGUAUUCCAUGGAAUGAAUGUACUAUUGUUUGUUUAUGCUCCUCUUGAUGAAGACUUGUUUUCUAGUUCUUAUGAAUAAAGCUGCUAUAAACAUUCAAGUACAAGUCUUUGGGGUAGACAUGUGUUUUCAUUGGAGUAAAUACCUAAGACUAAAACAACUGUAUCAUAGAGGAUGCAGAUGCUUAGUUGUAUAACUGACUGCCAAACCUCUUCCCAAAACCCUGUAUGUACCAUUCUGCACUUCCAUUGAGAAUGUAUGAGAGUACAGUGCCUCCACAUCCCUCCCAGCCUUCAGUGUUAAUUUGUAUGCUUCUCUUGAUAGUAAACACCUUUUCGUGUGCUUUUUGGCCUUUUGUACAUCUUUUGUGAAUUAUCUAUGUUUUAGGUUAGUACUUAAAUUUUGAGUCUAAUAGUGCAGAGAUAUAAUUUUAUUUGUGUGACAAAAAGCUCUUUAAAAUGAUGUAACUGGAAAGAUGCCUAGAGGGCAGUAAUUGAGAGUAACCAUCCGUGAUGAGCAGAUAGACAACUCCCAACUGGUCUGCCGGAAGUUCUACUUUGAUUUUUAGGUGAUUUUUUUAUUAGUCAAGCCAGUGUUUAGAGGAAGAUUCUCUGGUUACAAUUCUUAAAAGAUAAAUGUCUUAAUUCCUUAAAACUAUGGAAAUAAAUUAAUUUUUCGAUCAGAGGAAAUUUGAAGUACUUUGAAACAAAAAUAUAUCAAGAAUAUGUGAUACUUUUAUUUAAUUAAAAUUCGGUAUAUCCUUAUAUUCACUGUAGUUUUUAAUCUCCCAUCAUACUACAGUAAGUAGGAAGCCAUAUGUACCCAUGAUGCAGAUAUGAGUUAUCCAGGAUGUUUCACUUUGGUCCCCAAAAUGUGAUCCAUAUAUUGAAAAUAUCCAUUUUCUUAGUAACUGGGUAUAAAACUUGAAGAAUCAUGAAUUUUAAGAUGUAACCAGGGAAUGUUUAGAAAAUACACUUUGAGUUUAUGUCUAUGGGACAUAGACAUAGGCCUUUGCUAAGACAAACAAAAGAGUUUUUUCCAACAGCUUUCAUUCUGUUUGUGAUUCUAGAAUAUAGCCUAAAUUAAAUUAUAUAUGUUAACCACUUUUGACCUUUAGGUAAAAAUAAUUCACUGCAGACAUGGCUUUUUUGACCACAGCUGCUUAUUGUUGAUAUUAUUGGUAACGUUUGACACAGUACAGAAAAACGGAGGGGGGAAAUCCAUGAGCCAGACAGUUACAGGCCCAAUGGUUUGAGAUAAAGUAAUAGAACUGUCCCUAACUAUUGAGCCAUCACUGGGUUCCUUAUGUCUCCGUGCUCUGCCAUCUCCCCCUUGGAAAGAGCACAUUAAAUAGUCUGCGGAUGGCUCAGCUGGUGACCUUCCCUGUCACUGCUCCGUUGUGUGCUUCUCCUGGACAGCAUAGAGGGGCCACCAAAAGCCAGAAUGUGUUCUUUCACACUGAAAGGCUGCAAGUGUCAUCUGCAGAGGAGCCGUCAGACUUGUUCACCCUGUCACCCCAGCGCAGGGCUUGGCACAGAGGGAAUGCACAGCAAAUAUUUGUUGACUUGAAAUGAAAGGUUGCUUUGUAGCCAUGAAACUGAAAAAUGCAGGCAGGGCCCUGUCGUAAAGUUAUGUCAACAGUAAGGAGAGUUCUGCUACAGGGUAAUGACCGCCAUCCAGCCUGGAAUGUGGAGUGUGCAGAAAAGGCCACUUGUCCUGCCCCCUUUUUUAAUUCCGACCCACACACCAGGAGAGGACCAGCAUGACUCUUGGGCUGCCGACCACCUGUUACUGUUUUGUGCCUGCUGCUUGCCCCUGGUCUUGGCAGCAGUCUCUUCAGAAGUAGUCAUGCAGAGUUUGGAAAAAGAAAUUGGGCUGAUUUUGAAACUCUUCCAAGCUAUCCUUGCUCUUCAAUAAGGCAGAAAUGAGUCUCUAACUUGACACUUGGUAAACACCUUAAAAGACACUUUCACGUACGCGGUAAUUAAGUUGAAAGAGUUAGCUUGUGGUGACACCCUUACAACCUUUCAAGCACAUCUUUCCUUCUUUUAUAUAAGCUUAUAUUUAGAUCUCAUUUUUAUGAACAUGUCCCUGAUGAGUACAGAGACAGGCGCAUGAGCCAAGGUGAAGUUUACUGAAUGUCAUCUGAAAAGCCUUCUGGGGGCUGACAUUGCGUUGUGACACUGUCAUUUAUGGGGCUGCGAGGCCUCAGUCCUCAGAGAGCUGUUCUAAAGCAGCUUAUUUCUGUGGUUAAUUCCUCUGCCCCAAUAGGGAAUCUCCUCUUAGUUUAGCAGUAUGUCAGAAAUACUUUAAAGACUAGCAGAUGUUUGGGUUAAUAAAAACCAUACUUAUCUUCUUUCAUUGCUGUUACACAUUCUUACUGUGACUUCUUCAUAGGGACUUUGAAUAA